rnacentral:rRNA from 1 species
CGUAGGAUGCAAGCGUUGUUCGGAAUUACUGGGCGUAAAGAGUACGUAGGCGGUGACAUAAGUCUGAUAUUAAAGACAGGGGCUCAACCUCUGGAGUGUAUCGGAAACUGUGUUACUAGAGGACAGUAGGGGAAGUCGGAAUUCUCAGUGUAGCGGUGAAAUGCGUAGAUAUUGGGAAGAACACCGGUCGCGAAAGCGGACUUCUGGGCUGUUACUGACGCUGAGGUACGAAAGUGUGGGGGAGCAAACAGGAUUAGAUACCCUGGUAGUCCACACGGUAACGAUGGAUACUAGGUGUAAUUGGUUUCGACCCCAGUUGUGCCGUAGCUAACGCAUUAAGUAUCCCGCCUGGGGAGUAUGGCCGCAAGGUUG